AUUGAACGCUGGCGGCAUGCUUUACACAUGCAAGUCGAACGGCAGCGCGGGCUUCGGCCUGGCGGCGAGUGGCGAACGGGUGAGUAAUACAUCGGAACGUGCCCAGUAGUGGGGGAUAGCUCGGCGAAAGCCGGAUUAAUACCGCAUACGACCUGAGGGUGAAAGCGGGGGAUCUUCGGACCUCGCGCUAUUGGAGCGGCCGAUGGCAGAUUAGCUAGUUGGUGGGGUAAAGGCCUACCAAGGCGACGAUCUGUAGCUGGUCUGAGAGGACGACCAGCCACACUGGGACUGAGACACGGCCCAGACUCAUACGGGAGGCAGCAGUGGGGAAUUUUGGACAAUGGGCGAAAGCCUGAUCCAGCAAUGCCGCGUGUGUGAUGAAGGCCUUCGGGUUGUAAAGCACUUUUGGCGGGAACGAAAAGGACUGUGCCAAUACCACGGUUCGAUGACGGUACCCGCAGAAUAAACACCGGCUAACUACGU
rnacentral:rRNA from 1 species